rnacentral:rRNA from 1 species
GACGAACGCUGGCGGCGUGCUUAACACAUGCAAGUCGAACGGAAAGGCCCCUUUGGGGGUACUCGAGUGGCGAACGGGUGAGUAACACGUGAGUAACCUGCCCUUGACUUCGGGAUAACUUCAGGAAACUGGGGCUAAUACCGGAUAGGAAUCCUUGCUGCAUGGUGGGGGUUGGAAAGCUUCGGCGGUUUUGGAUGGACUCGCGGCUUAUCAGCUUGUUGGUGGGGUAGUGGCUUACCAAGGCUUUGACGGGUAGCCGGCCUGAGAGGGCGACCGGCCACAUUGGGACUGAGAUACGGCCCAGACUCCUACGGGAGGCAGCAGUGGGGAAUAUUGCACAAUGGGCGGAAGCCUGAUGCAGCAACGCCGCGGGCGGGAUGACGGCCUUCGGGUUGUAAACCGCUUUCAGCAGGGGCGAAGCUUGUGGUGACGGUACCUGUAGAAGAAGCACCGGCUAACUACGUG